CGUGCAGGCGGUUUGGUAAGUUGGAUGUGAAAGCUCCUGGCUUAACUGGGAGAGGUCGUUCAAUACUGCCAGGCUAGAGGACGGUAGAGGAAGGUAGAAUUCCUGGUGUAGUGGUGAAAUGCGUAGAUAUCAGGAGGAAUACCAGAGGCGAAGGCGGCCUUCUGGGCCGUUCCUGACGCUAAGACGCGAAAGCAUGGGUAGCAAACAGGAUUAGAUACCCUGGUAGUCC
rnacentral:rRNA from 1 species